AAAAGGUCGGCGGUGGGCUGGUGACGAGGGCACGUGAAAAGAAAAGGCGCAGCGCUAGAGCACGCCGACAGAGCGGAUGCGCUCGAUGAUACCGUCUUGGCUCAUGGGCUCUGCAUCGGCGCCACGAUCCACGAGGCAAUUAUGAAAGACGCAACCGCCGCCUGUGAAAGCGUCGAAAAAAGCCGUCCCGCGGAAUUGGCAGUCGACAAAGACGCACGCGGUCAGCGAGGCGCCGGCAAAAGAGGCACCCUCGAACCGCUGUCCGAAAAAGUGGACGGCGGUGAGCCUCGAUCCGAGAAAAGAGGCCACGCCGACGUCUGCCACGACGACACCGUGGGACGCGAGAUAGGCCGUCGGCGACGGGUCCCUAUCAUCGGCCUCGAAUGGUUGCAGGGUCGGGUCGACGGGCGGGUCGACGGGCGCACCGAGCCUCCAGGGUCCACGUGGGUCCCAUGCGUGAUGGCGCACUUCUACGUUUUUGAUGACGAGACCGUCGAAUCCCGCGAGCAUGCGCCCGUCGGUGGGACCAGGCGCGGCCAGAGACUCGCCCGAGGCCAGCGUGGUCCACGGAUCGAUGGCGGUCUGCCUCUUGUCGAGAGCGCCCGUGACGUCUGCGACGAUGGCGCGCACGCGCUCUCUGCCGGCCACUGACCACAAAGGGUGUCGAGCGGCCGUGUCGCGUACGGCCCAGGCCAAGAGACGUGGCGGCACAUUGGACAUCCACACACACCAGGGCAUCUUCCAGUCACGGCCGGCGCAUAGAUCGGUGCCCGUCUCGGGGUCGGUGUUGCGAUGGGGCCCAGCAACACAGUACCACGUGGCAAGGCUGUCGCGCGCGUAAAGGCGCCCGCUCGACACAAAAUCACAGUCGGUCGCGUGAACAAGGGCGCCCGUCAGAAAGCAACGCACGCGCGGUUCUUUGCGAGACGCACACGCGGCCUCCUGGUCGUCGUCGUCAUCGACUUUGGCCGGGAGCGCCUCACCAAAGGGCAGACCUAGGCCGAGCGUGGCUGGAUCAAUGUCAUCCUCGGGCGAGCGCCAGUCGAGCGACACCUCGGCGUCGGCGGCCCUCUCGGUCAGGGCACGCACACAGUCGGCCGCAACAUCAGGUCUGACCAGACAAUGGGACGAGGUCAGGUAGGCCGCCCACAGGCGUGCGCCCUGCGAAUGCAGGUCGGCAGGCAGAGUGGCAAAGUCGCGUCGUUGGGUGUCGGGGCUUGCCGUCCACUUGUGACCCCAUAUGCGCCGGCCGGCGAGUCGCGAUUCGCGCGCGUCGCCUAUGGCAAUCAGGACGACAUAGGCCGGCCCGCCGAUCACAACGUCGGUUGACGCGGCGGCCGUGAUGCGCGCAGCGUCCUUGGUCCUGGUGAGCACGUGACCGCGAGCAUUGACAUAGUCUAGGCGCCAGCCGUCCGACUCGGGCCGCACAAUGCGUACCACAGAGACGGCGCCUCGAUCCGACGACGCGUCGGAAUACGGUUUGCGCUCGACGCUAUAGACAGAGGGCUUGUCAAAGCCGGCCCAGAUGCUCUGCUGGAUGCUAUCGUCGGCGCCGCGUCUCACGCCCGACCCCACGUAACGGCCGCCGACAAAUUGUCCGGCGUGAGACUCUUGUUGCGUCGCCUUGGUGCGCGUCCAGAUACCACGCCCGUUGCGUUCGUUCGAUGCCCACUCAGCGUAGACUCGAUAGUCUGCAGGCCGGACAAAGGUGCCUCGGCCAUGCCUUUGCAGGCCGUUGAACAAACCAAUGUAUCGGUCGUUCCCAUAGGUGGCCUCGCCGUGGCCGUCGAUGCCCCGUGGGCCGAACCGCUCCGCGCGGAACUGGUUGCUGAUGUGGCUGACAACACGUCCCGGUCCGACAAAUGCGCCGGCGCGCCAUAAACCCUCGCGGGAGCGUAUGGUCGGGUCGACGUCGUGCGCUUCCUUUUUCACGGCAUCCCCUUUGACAUAGGUCGCUGUCGCGUAGCCGUCGAGGACGAGCCGCGGCGUGCUGUUCUGCCCAUCAAAGGCCACAGCCCAUUCGCCGCUCUCGUAAGUGGUGCCAUCGCUCGACGGCACAACGCCAAUGUAGCGCCCGUUGGCCAGAUAAACGGGAUGCCGCCGUUGCCUGGCGACCUCUAGCACGUAAAGCCAUCGAAAUCGCCGGCCAUAUGAUGCGGCGUCGGUGUGCUCGUCGGGCGCGCUCGUGCGCCCAAAGUCGCGCCUGUAGAGACGUGCCCACAAGUGGUCGCACCGCACCAUGGCAUGUAGCGACGCACAGACGCUGUCGGUGGCCGCUAGCGACCUCACAGACAAGGACGACAAAAUUUCGACAAGCAACUCGACGGGCAACGCCAAAAGGCAUACGGGAGGCGCCAGCAUGGCGGCAGUGGGCGACUCUCGGGCGUGCACGGAAAGGUUGCCGCCUUUUUUUGUUGUGUCUGCCUGCGUCGGUCUCUGCGUUGUUGUGGCGCGUCGUCCCCUUUUUGGCACACAGCGACAUACUUCUGCAUUGCCCAUUGGCCGGCACAAUAUUUUUGAAAAAAAAAAGUAACAAUUAGACUUUUUGCC
rnacentral:lncRNA from 1 species